AAUCAACGCUGGCGGCGUGCCUCAGACAUGCAAGUCGAACGAGAACCUCCCUUCGGGGAGGGGACGAGUGGCGCACGGGUGAGUAACACGUGGGUAAUUUACCUUUGGGUGGGGAACAACAGCCGGAAACGGCUGCUAAUACCGCAUAAUGCAGCGGCUCGACAUCGAGACAGUUGUUAAAGCGGGGGAUCGCAAGACCUCGCGCCUGAAGAGAAGCCUGCGGCGGAUUAGCAGUUGGUAGGGUAAUGGCCUACCAAGGCGACGAUCUGUAACCGGCCUGAGAGGGCGGUCGGUCACACUGACACUGACAUACGGGUC
rnacentral:rRNA from 1 species